UACAGAGGGUGCGAGCGUUAAUCGGAAUUACUGGGCGUAAAGCGUGCGUAGACGGCUAUCUAAGUCGGGUGUGAAAUCCCUCGGCUCAACCGGGGAACGACGCAUGAAACUGACAAGCUAGAGUACCAAAGAGGGGGGUGGAAUUCCCGGUGUAGCGGUGAAAUGCGUAGAUAUCGGGAGGAACAUCAGUGGCGAAGGCGGCUGCCUGGCCCAAUACUGACACUCAGGUGCGACAGCGUGGGGAGCAAACAGG
rnacentral:rRNA from 1 species